AAGCAACGCGAAGAACCUUACCAGGUCUUGACAUCCCGCUGACCGGCAUGGAGACAUGCCUUCCCCUUCGGGGGCAGCGGUGACAGGUGGUGCAUGGUUGUCGUCAGCUCGUGUCGUGAGAUGUUGGGUUAAGUCCCGCAACGAGCGCAACCCUUGAUCUUAGUUGCCAGCAUUCAGUUGGGCACUCUAAGGUGACUGCCGGUGACAAACCGGAGGAAGGUGGGGAUGACGUCAAAUCAUCAUGCCCCUUAUGACCUGGGCUACACACGUGCUACAAUGGAUGGUACAAAGGGCUGCAAGACCGCGAGGUUUAGCCAAUCCCAUAAAACCAUUCUCAGUUCGGAUUGCAGGCUGCAACUCGCCUGCAUGAAGCUGGAAUCGCUAGUAAUCGCGGAUCAGCAUGCCGCGGUGAAUACGUUCCCGGGCCUUGUACACACCGCCCGUCACACCACGAGAGUUUGCAACACCCGAAGUCGGUGGGGUAACCCUUACGGGAGCCAGCCGCCGAAGGUGGGGCAGAUGAUUGGG
rnacentral:rRNA from 1 species